rnacentral:rRNA from 1 species
AUACGGAGGUGGCAAGCGUUGUUCGGAUUUACUGGGUGUAAAGGUCACGUAGGUGUCUUGUUAAGUCGGAUGUGAAAUCCCCUGGCUCAACCAGGGAGCUGCACUCGAUACUGGCAAGAUUGAGUACGGGAGAGGUAAGCGGAAUUCCGGAAGUAAGGGUGAAAUCUGUAGAUAUCCGGAAGAACACCAUUAGCGAAGGCGGCUUACUGGCCCGAUACUGACACUGAGGUGAGAAAGCUAGGGGAGCGAACAGGAUUAGAUACCCUGGUAGUCCUAGCUGUAAACGAUGGGCACUAGAUGCAGGCUGUCAAAGGUCUGUGUCGGAGCAAACGCGUUAAGUGCCCCACCUGGGGACUACGGUCGCAAGGCUAAA